GGGUGACUGCGUACCUUUUGUAUAAUGGGUCAGCGACUUAUAUUCUGUAGCAAGGUUAACCGAAUAGGGGAGCCGGAGGGAAACCGAGUCUUAAUUGGGCGUUAAGUUGCAGGGUAUAGACCCGAAACCCGGUGAUCUAGCCAUGGGCAGGUUGAAGGUUGGGUAACACUAACUGGAGGACCGAACCGACUAAUGUUGAAAAAUUAGCGGAUGACCUGUGGCUGGGGGUGAAAGGCCAAUCAAACCGGGAGAUAGCUGGUUCUCCCCGAAAGCUAUUUAGGUAGCGCCUCGUGAAUUCAUCUCCGGGGGUAGAGCACUGUUUCGGCUAGGGGGCCAUCCCGGCUUACCAACCCGAUGCAAACUGCGAAUACCGGAGAAUGUUAUCACGGGAGACACACGGCGGGUGCUAACGUCCGUCGUGAAGAGGGAAACAACCCAGACCGCCAGCUAAGGUCCCAAAGUCAUGGUUAAGUGGGAAACGAUGUGGGAAGGCCCAGACAGCCAGGAUGUUGGCUUAGAAGCAGCCAUCAUUUAAAGAAAGCGUAAUAGCUCACUGGUCGAGUCGGCCUGCGCGGAAGAUGUAACGGGGCUAAACCAUG
rnacentral:rRNA from 1 species